rnacentral:rRNA from 1 species
UACGGAGGGUGCAAGCGUUAUCCGGAUUCAUUGGGUUUAAAGGGUGCGUAGGCGGCGCGGUAAGUCGGGUGUGAAAUCUCGGAGCUUAACUCCGAAACUGCAUUCGAUACUGCCGUGCUUGAGGACUGGAGAGGAGACUGGAAUUUACGGUGUAGCGGUGAAAUGCGUAGAUAUCGUAAGGAAGACCAGUGGCGAAGGCGGGUCUCUGGACAGUUCCUGACGCUGAGGAGCGAAAGCGUGGGGAGCAAACAGG